rnacentral:rRNA from 1 species
UACAGAGGGGGCAAGCGUUAUUCGGAAUUAUUGGGCGUAAAGGGCGCGUAGGCGGCGCAACAAGUCACUUGUGAAAUCUCCGGGCUUAACCCGGAGCGGUCAAGUGAUACUGUCGUGCUAGAGUGCGGAAGGGGCAACUGGAAUUCUUGGUGUAGCGGUGAAAUGCGUAGAUAAUCAAGAGGAACACCUGUGGCGAAGGCGGGUUGCUGGGCCGACACUGACGCUGAGGCGCGAAAGCCAGGGGAGCGAACGGG